AGAGUUGAUCAUGGCUCAGGACGAACGCUGGCGGCAUGCCUAACACAUGCAAGUCGAACGGGGGUAGCAAUACCCUAGUGGCGAACGGGUGAGUAACACAUAAGCAAUCUGCCCUUCACAGGGGGAUAACAGCGGGAAACUGCUGCUAAUACCGCAUAAGACCACGGUACCGCAUGGUACAGGGGUAAAAACGAAUCAGUGGUGAAGGAUGAGCUUAUGUCCCAUUAGCUAGUUGGUGAGAUAACAGCCCACCAAGGCGACGAUGGGUAGCCGACCUGAGAGGGUGAUCGGCCACACUGGAACUGAGACACGGUCCAGACUCCUACGGGAGGCAGCAGUGGGGAAUAUUGGGCAAUGGAAGGAAACUCUUACCCAGCAAUGCCGCGUGAGUGAAGAAGGUCUUCGGAUUGUAAAGCUCUUUGAUUGGGGACGAAGAAAGUGACGGUACCCAAAGAACAAGCCCCGGCUAACUACGUGCCAGCCGCCGC
rnacentral:rRNA from 1 species